CGAACCGUGCGAACGUUGUUCGGAAUCACUGGGCUUAAAGGGCGCGUAGGCGGGCUGCCAAGUCUGGGGUGAAAUCCCACGGCUCAACCGUGGAACUGCCUCGGAUACUGGCGGCCUCGAGGGGGGUAGGGGCGUGCGGAACUGUGGGUGGAGCGGUGAAAUGCGUUGAUAUCCACAGGAACUCCGGUGGCGAAGGCGGCACGCUGGACCUCUUCUGACGCUGAGGCGCGAAAGCCAGGGGAGCAAACGGGAUUAGAUACCCCGGUAGUCCUGGCCCUAAACGAUGGGUACUAGGUAGUAGACUUGACAUGGGUUUACUGCCGAAGCAAAAGUGCUAAGUACCCCGCCUGGGGAGUAUGGUCGCAAGGCUG
rnacentral:rRNA from 1 species